GCACUGUACCUGCUAUAAGAAAGGCAACAAGGGGUACAUCCGGGUUCCCGGAACUCCUGACACCAACUGUGGCUGCAACGAUAAACCGCACACUUGUUGAAGGAGUUCCCAUUGGCUGACACCAAUAAAACCCAAGGCAGAAGAGAGCCCACUGAUGGAGUGAAUUGACUGACACAGUCAUUGAGCAGACUGAGUGGUACUUACCAGGUGGCCCACAGUGGUGUAGAAUGUCUUCGCAUACACCAUGGGAGGCAUUAUUCAACUGACAACAACUGAGGCUUCAUAGUUGUUUUCCACAAUUAUAAAUUGAGGUACAGAUCCAAGAAUUGUAGUUUCAGUUCUACAUUGUAAUAUCUAUGAUACCUUGCAGUCAAAUUAAAUUUCAAGUCCACAUGUUGGCAAUAUAAAAUCUGUCUUGCUUCACAAUGAU